UACGUAGGUGGCGAGCGUUGUCCGGAUUUACUGGGCGUAAAGGGCUUGUAGGCGGUUCGUUAAGUCUGGUGUGAAAUCUCCCGGCUCAACUGGGAGGGGUCAUCGGAUACUGGCGAACUUGAGGGAGGCAGAGGAAAGCAGAAUUCCCGGUGUAGCGGUGAAAUGCGUAGAUAUCGGGAGGAAUACCAGUGGCGAAGGCGGCUUUCUGGGCCUUCCCUGACGCUGAGGAGCGAAAGCGUGGGGAGCAAACCGG
rnacentral:misc_RNA from 1 species